GAGGUCUCACUAUAUUGCCCAGGCUGGUCUUGAACUCCUGGCCUUAAGCAAUCCUCCUGCCUUGGCCCCCCAAAGUGCUGGAGUUACAGAUGUGAGCCUCUGUGCUCAGCCCAUCCUUGGCUGUUCAAGUGUAGAGCCAAGAAUAUUAAGGAACGUGGACACAAAGGAUGAGGUUGGAACACAAGUUUAAUAAGCAAAAGAAGAAAGCUCUCCCCAGCGGAGAGGGGACCCGAGAGAGGGUUGCCAACUAGGAGGCUGAAUCUGGGGGUUUUGUGAACUGGGAAGGGGAAGAAUGCUCACUAGUCUGUGAGCUGUCUUGGAGAAAGCACAACUUCACUUGGCCCAGGACCUUAGCUUGGGACCAACCAGAGGCUGAAGUGAAAUUUUGGCCCAAGACCAAUCAGGGGCUGAAGUGAAAGUUUGGCCCAGGACCAAACAGGGGCUGAAAUGAUGAUUCAUGGAGGCUUGGCUCACAGUCCAAAGCAUGUCCAGAAAAGGAAAUUGGCCACCAGAGCCUGUUAGUUCAAGCCGCACCGAUUUGUAAGCCCCCACCAUUUCACAGACUCUGGUCAGAGGGAAACAUUCCACUGGGGUUUGGGCUGAGGGAAACUUCCUCCCCAACCGCCUGACUUCCUUAUCACAUCCUGCUGGGGAAAGGCCCAAGAAACAUCCUUAUCAACAUUCUCCCAGGCAACAAGCUAUACUGCCCAGAUCCCUCCUGCCCAGGCCUAUAAUUACUCCAGCCUAUAAGCGGCAGUGGGCUCUGGCAUUUAGUUGGUCCCCUCCAUAGAGCCGCCAAGUCUCUCUCUUUCUUUAACCUUCACCUUCCCUUCAAAAUCUAACAGAGCCCACCGUAUACAUGCCCACAAAAAAGCGACUAUUUCCUGGAAGCCCG
rnacentral:lncRNA from 1 species